rnacentral:rRNA from 1 species
AUUGAACGCUGGCGGCAUGCUUUACACAUGCAAGUCGAACGGCAGCAUGGGUGCUUGCACCUGAUGGCGAGUGGCGAACGGGUGAGUAAUGUAUCGGAACAUAUCCGCAAGUGGGGGAUAACGUAGCGAAAGUUACGCUAAUACCGCAUAUUCCCUGAGGGGGAAAGGAGGGGAUCCGCAAGGACCUUUCGCUUACGGAGUGGCCGAUAUCAGAUUAGCUAGUUGGUGGGGUAAAGGCCUACCAAGGCGACGAUCUGUAGCGGGUCUGAGAGGAUGAUCCGCCACACUGGGACUGAGACACGGCCCAGACUCCUACGGGAGGCAGCAGUGGGGAAUUGUGGACAAUGGGGGCAACCCUGAUCCAGCCAUGCCGCGUGAGUGAAGAAGGCCUUCGGGUCGUAAAGCUCUUUCAGCUGGAAAAAAAUCGCAUCACCUAAUACGUGGUGUGGAUGAUGGUACCAGCAGAAGAAGCACCGGCUAACUACGUGCCAGCCGCCGCGGUAAUAC